GUUAAGGUGGCAGAGCCCGGUAAUUGCAUAAAACUUAAGCUUUUAUUAUCAGAGGUUCAACUCCUCUCCUUAACA
rnacentral:tRNA from 1 species